rnacentral:lncRNA from 1 species
CUCCGUUGCCGCCGAAACCAAUCCAGCAAAGAAGAAGCAGGCGAAUAACCGGAGAAGGGGUUUUAUUUUUAAACCCCUUUGCAUUUUGGAGCCAGUGGGUACCGACGAUAACCAGUCGGUUGGGGCUCGUCUUUCUUAUCGCCUGGGAUUCUCCUCUGUCUCCAAAAUCCCCGUUUGUAUUUUCCCUUCUGGGUGAUAAGGAUAUUGGUAAAUGGGUCUGGGUUGGAUCCGUGGCAUCUUUCAG